rnacentral:rRNA from 1 species
UAGAGUUUGAUCCUGGCUCAGAUUGAACGCUGGCGGCAUGCCUUACACAUGCAAGUCGAACGGUAACGCGGGGCAACCUGGCGACGAGUGGCGAACGGGUGAGUAAUGCAUCGGAACGUGCCCAGUAGUGGGGGAUAGCCCGGCGAAAGCCGGAUUAAUACCGCAUACGACCUACGGGUGAAAGCGGGGGACCGCAAGGCCUCGCGCUAUUGGAGCGGCCGAUGUCAGAUUAGGUAGUUGGUGGGGUAAAGGCCUACCAAGCCGACGAUCUGUAGCUGGUCUGAGAGGACGACCAGCCACACUGGGACUGAGACACGGCCCAGACUCCUACGGGAGGCAGCAGUGGGGAAUUUUGGACAAUGGGCGCAAGCCUGAUCCAGCCAUGCCGCGUGCGGGAAGAAGGCCUUCGGGUUGUAAACCGCUUUUGUCAGGGAAGAAACGCUCUGGGCUAAUACCCCGGGGUAAUGACGGUACCUGAAGAAUAAGCACCGGCUAACUACGUGCCAGCAGCCCCGGUCAA